rnacentral:rRNA from 1 species
GGGCGUAGAGGGCUCGCAGGCGGUUUCUUAAGUCUGAUGUGAAAGCCCCCGGCUCAACCGGGGAGGGUCAUUGGAAACUGGGGAACUUGAGUGCAGAAGAGGAGAGUGGAAUUCCACGUGUAGCGGUGAAAUGCGUAGAGAUGUGGAGGAACACCAGUGGCGAAGGCGACUCUCUGGUCUGUAACUGACGCUGAGGAGCGAAAGCGUGGGGAGCGAACAGGAUUAGAUACCCUGGUAGUCCACGCCGUAAACGAUGAGUGCUAAGUGUUAGGGGGUUUCCGCCCCUUAGUGCUGCAGCUAACGCAUUAAGCACUCCGCCUGGGGAGUACGGUCGCAAGACUGAAACUCAAAGGAAUUGACGGGGGCCCGCACAAGCGGUGGAGCAUGUGGUUUAAUUCGAAGCAACGCGAAGAACCUUACCAGGUCUUGACAUCCUCUGACAAUCCUAGAGAUAGGACGUCCCCUUCGGGGGCAGAGUGACAGGUGGUGCAUGGUUGUCGUCAGCUCGUGUCGUGAGAUGUUGGGUUAAGUCCCGCAACGAGCGCAACCCUUGAUCUUAGUUGCCAGCAUUCAGUUGGGCACUCUAAGGUGACUGCCGGUGACAAACCGGAGGAAGGUGGGGAUGACGUC